GGACCCCUCAUGUGCCAUGGCUUGCACGGGAAGUCAGAGGAUGGUAGUCUGUGGAGUCGGUUCUCUCCUUCCACUUUUACAUGGGCUCUGGGGAUCAAAUUCAAGUUUCCAUGUUCGGAAGGCACUCUUUACCCAUUAGCUAUCUCAACAGAACUAGGAUUACAGUCGUUUGGAUACUGGCCAAAAUCCUAAGCAUGCUCGAGCUGCCUCUUCCCUGGACUUUCUCACUCAUGUCUCUGAAGAAGCCAGUUCCUGACUUCAUACAGAAGCUGGGCUCUACUGCUGAACACACCUUUCAUGAGCCCUAACUUAAUAGGCAACUAUUUCUCCUCCUCUCCAUCUCUCUCCUCUUGGUAACUGAUGGUAUUUACAGCUCAUCUGUCCUAUUGUUAUCGUUCGAAAAUUCUAAUAAAAUGGAAAAUGUC